CCUACGGGAGGCAGCAGUAAGGAAUAUUGGUCAAUGGGGGCAACUCUGAACCAGCCAUGCCGCGUGCAGGAAGACGGCCCUAUGGGUUGUAAACUGCUUUUAUCUGGGAAUAAACCUAUUUACGUGUAAGUAGCUGAAUGUACCAGAAGAAUAAGGAUCGGCUAACUCCGUGCCAGCAGCCGCGGUAAUACGGAGGAUCCAAGCGUUAUCCGGAUUUAUUGGGUUUAAAGGGUGCGUAGGCGGCAGUUUAAGUCAGAGGUGAAAGACGGUAGCUCAACUAUCGCAGUGCCUUUGAUACUGAAUUGCUUGAAUGAACUAGAGGUAGGCGGAAUGAGACAAGUAGCGGUGAAAUGCAUAGAUAUGUCUCAGAACACCGAUUGCGAAGGCAGCUUACUAUGGUUUUAUUGACGCUGAGGCACGAAAGCGUGGGGAUCAAACAGGAUUAGAUACCCUGGUAGUCCACGCCCUAAACGAUGAAUACUCGCUGUUAGCGAUAUACAGUUAGCGGCUAAGCGAAAGCGUUAAGUAUUCCACCUGGGGAGUACGCUCGCAAGAGUGAAACUCAAAGGAAUUGACGG
rnacentral:rRNA from 1 species